AUGGGAAAGCGGCGGGCGGACACCGCCUCACCUGCGCCCAAUAGGAGCGGGCGCUCGGCCUCCGGCCCCGCCCAGCCGCCUCACAUCCAGCUAGCCCCGCCCCCCCAGCUGAAGAAGAAAAGCAAACGCCAUCGCUCUACCACAAAAUGGCGGCUGUGCCGCACCCGCCUUCGGCAUAGACCUGCCGCUCCGAGCGGAACGGAGCGGCGACAACGCCGGCCGGGGGUCCGCGGGCCAGCCGGGCACACAGCACAAGCGCCCCGCACCGCUCACGCCCCGCUUCCCCCGCGCUCUGCGGGGAAGCCCCCGGAGCUUUUACGAACCUGGGCUGUGGGUCUCGGAGCAAGCCGAGCCGGACGGUUGCGCGGUGCGGCGCGGCAGAUGAUCGGCGGAUCGGUCGGGCGGAUACGUCCUCCCCGGGCGAUAGACGGCUCCGAGUGCUGCGCAACACCGGCGCUGCGCCGCGAAAUGGAGGCGGCACCGCGCGUCAGCGCCGCCCCGCGCGGCCAUUGGCGGAGGCGGUGGCCACGCCCCUCCCCGGGGAAUCCAGGUGGCUGCAGUAAAGGCAAAAGAUUGUCCCAAGGGGUAUUUGAAAUGAAGAAGACAUCUGGAAGUUGAAGAUACACCCACCAGUUUUCCAGUACAGACAGAGGCUGCAGCUCGGUGACUCUCUUUGCCAGAUUUGUGCACUGCUGGAUCAGUUGACUUUACACAAAAAGCCAGCAGGCUUACAGCUGCAUAAGGCUGCCUCUUUUGAUGCAUUUUGAUAAUUACAGUAUGAUCCUUUUAAUAGCAUUUUCCUGACUUGUCACCUGAAGUCCCAUGCUGCCCUGACUCCCAGCCCCUACCCCUUCCCUUUGGGGCCCAUCUUUGUGACACCCAGGGGCUGUUAUUAAUGACCUCUAUGGGAUGAAUUUCUCUUUUUCGUGCUUAGUCACCGACAUGUGUUUCCCUGCCACAAUACAGCACGUGAUGGUGCUGACAUCAUAGCUUUGUAUGACUGCCCCCACAGUCACUCAACAGCAUGCAGAGUUCCAAAAAUGGAAAAGUUAUUUCUGCUGCAUGCAGUGAUGAGAAAGGCUACCAUGUAGCUAACGGUUUGGUAAGGGCACUGUCAGCAUCACUCACUUCUUUCUUGGGUUCCAAAGAUGCACAUUUCUGUCCUGGGCAGAGGCAGUGUCUGUGAGAAAAGCCAGGAUGAUGCACAGAUGGGAAAAUCUGCAAUACAGGGAGAACUUUGAGCAAGGAAAGACGAUGCUGGUGAUUAUCCCUGUGGAUGAUAACCUUUGCCUGCUGAGGAAGAUAAAUGUUAGAUGGCACAUCUGAAUGUAAGAGUGCGAAUUUCAUAGAGAGUUACAGUGCUUUAAGAGGUGCCAUGGGAACAGGCUGUUCUGUUCUGUCAACACCAGGACUCUCCUGUCUGCAGAGUGAACUGGUACACAAAGCUAAACCAGCAAAAGGUAGUGCUGGAAAAGGCAGCAAGCAGACUUCUAAAAUUUUACCUCCAUGAAAACCAGCUUGUAGUGAGAGAAAAACAAAACUGAAAAUAACUUCAGUUUCAACAAAACUGAAUAGAGAAGGGAGGAAGGGGCAGGAGUGCCCCUUUAAGGAAGAGCUG
ensembl:lncRNA